rnacentral:rRNA from 1 species
GACGAACGCUGGCGGCGUGCCUAACACAUGCAAGUCGAACGGAGUUGCCCUUCGGGACAACUUAGUGGCGAACGGGUGAGUAACGCGUGAGAAACCUGCCUUUCAGUGGGGGACAACAGUUGGAAACGACUGCUAAUACCGCAUAACGUUAUUUGGGGGCAUCCCCGGGUAACCAAAGCUUUAUGUGCUGAAAGAUGGUCUCGCGUCUGAUUAGCUAGUUGGUAGGGUAACGGCCUACCAAGGCGACGAUCAGUAGCCGGACUGAGAGGUUGAACGGCCACAUUGGGACUGAGAUACGGCCCAGACUCCUACGGGAGGCAGCAGUCGGGAAUAUUGCGCAAUGGAGGAAACUCUGACGCAGUGACGCCGCGUAUAGGAAGAAGGUUUUCGGAUUGUAAACUAUUGUCGUUAGGAAGAUACAAGACAGUACCUAAGGAGGAAGCCCCGGCUAACUAUGUG